GAUGAACGCUGGCGGCGUGCCUAAUACAUGCAAGUCGAGCGAACAGAUGAGGAGCUUGCUCCUCUGACGUUAGCGGCGGACGGGUGAGUAACACGUGGAUAACCUACCUAUAAGACUGGGAUAACUUCGGGAAACCGGAGCUAAUACCGGAUAAUAUAUUGAACCGCAUGGUUCAAUAGUGAAAGACGGUUUUGCUGUCACUUAUAGAUGGAUCCGCGCCGCAUUAGCUAGUUGGUAAGGUAACGGCUUACCAAGGCAACGAUGCGUAGCCGACCUGAGAGGGUGAUCGGCCACACUGGAACUGAGACACGGUCCAGACUCCUACGGGAGGCAGCAGUAGGGAAUCUUCCGCAAUGGGCGAAAGCCUGACGGAGCAACGCCGCGUGAGUGAUGAAGGUCUUCGGAUCGUAAAACUCUGUUAUUGGGGAAGAACAAAUGUGUAAGUAACUAUGCACGUCUUGACGGUACCUAAUCAGAAAGCCACGGCUAACUACGUG
rnacentral:rRNA from 1 species